GAUGAACGCUAGCGGCAGGCCCAACACAUGCAAGUCGAGGGGCAGCAUAAAAUAAACUUGUUUAUUUGGUGGCGACCGGCGCACGGGUGCGGAACGCGUAUGCAACCUACCUUAUACUGGGGAAUAGCCCGAAGAAAUUCGGAUUAAUGCCCCAUAGUACUGAGACCUCUCCUGAGGAUUCAGUUAAAGCUUUGGCGGUAUAAGAUGGGCAUGCGUCCAAUUAGCUAGAUGGUGAGGUAACGGCUCACCAUGGCGACGAUUGGUAGGGGGCCUGAGAGGGUGGUCCCCCACACUGGUACUGAGACACGGACCAGACUCCUACGGGAGGCAGCAGUGAGGAAUAUUGGUCAAUGGGCGCAAGCCUGAACCAGCCAUGCCGCGUGAAGGAUGAAGGUUCUAUGGAUUGUAAACUUCUUUUAUUUGGGAAUAAACCUCUUUACGUGUAGAGAGCUGAAGGUACCAAAUGAAUAAGCACCGGCUAACUCCGUGCCAGCCGCCGCCGUAACAC
rnacentral:rRNA from 1 species